AAAAAGUAAAACAAUAUGACAGACGUGAAGACAUACCGGUAAUAGCCGGUAAUCAUUUGGUAAUUGAUUCAAUUCAAGGAAGUUCUAGAGCUUCACCUCACACGAGGCAGAGCGAGAGCCACUGUCACCACGAACCUCAACCCAGCUGAACCUGCACAUCAGUCAUAUCUAAAACGCUGCGGAGGACAUGGCAGUGUGGUGGCAAACUCUGAUGUUGUCUAUCUGCAUUAUUCCUGCUAAACAGAACGGUCGCCCAACUAUUACUUGAACAAGAAAUCUACCAAAACCUACGCGAUGGUAUGGUGAUGGUAUAAAGAGAAGAACCUGCAAAUGACUCUUCACAACUAGCCGACAUCCAGACAAGUUAGCCAGGAGCAGCAUCUUGUUCUGGAGAGGAGAGAGAGGAGAAGAGAAGAGAAGAGAAGAGAAGAGAAGAGGAGAGGAGAGGAGAGGAGAGGAGAGGAGAAGAGAAGAGAGUAUCACCUGCUUCCCAAAGCCUGCUUUCCAAAGCCUGAUCCCUGGCCUGAGAGGCACACAGUAAUGACAGGUUUGUUUUCAGGUUUGUGAUGGAUCUGCUCAUUUCCCGUAAAUUAGCCUGGCAGCGUCCGCCACCUUCCUCUCUCCCUCAUCUCCUUUUCCUGUUUCCUCUUAGCCACCCACUUCAUGCCACUCUGCUACCAUCACAUGACAAUGACGUCAACACACAGAGUUGUAUGGAUGAGAGACCCCAAAAGGGAGGGGAACAAUGAAAUUAAAUUACAGUGCUGAUGGUAAAUUAAAAUGCAUUUGUCAUGACCACCAGACAUUGCACAGAAAAAAAACUGGUGAAAAUGAAAGAAAAAAAACUGCAGCCUACUGUUGGCUGACAAAAGAGGCUCAGGAUUGGAACUUUUAUGCCUUCAAGGGCUUUUAACAUUAAGCAUUAAGACUGUCAAACUCAGGAGACCCAGUGAA